CAUCACUACGCUAGAUGCAUAUCAAUAAGCGGAGGAAAAGAAACUAACAAGGAUUCCCCUAGUAACGGCGAGUGAAGCGGGAAGAGCUCAAAUUUGAAAUCUUAAAGGGUUUCCCUUUACGAAUUGUAGUUUAAAGAAGUGUUUUCUGUUGGAGUUUCGGUAAAAGUUCUUUGGAAUAGGACAUCAUAGAGGGUGAGAAUCCCGUAUUUGACCGUUACUUUCCAGCUGUGUGAUACACUUUCAAAGAGUCGGAUUGUUUGGGAAUGCAGUCCAAAAUGGGUGGUAAAUUUCAUCUAAAGCUAAAUAUUGGCGAGAGACCGAUAGCGAACAAGUACCGUGAGGGAAAGAUGAAAAGAACUUUGAAAAGAGAGUUAAACAGUACGUGAAAUUGUCAAAAGGGAAGCGUUUGACACCAGUGUUGUUUAGUUGAAAAUCAAUUCAAUAAUUUUUGAUUUUAAGUAGUAUUGACUUCAUCAGCUUGCUGCUUUCUUUUCGGAAAUUAUUGAAUGCACUUUUCAGUUAGCAAGUCAACAUCAAUUUCUUUUGUUGUAAAAGGGUAAGAGGGAGGUGGCUUACGCUUCGGCGUAAGUGUUUAUAGCCUUUUACCUCUGCAAUCGGAGAGAUUGAGGACAGCAGCGUAGACUCCUUCGGGGGUUAGAUACACUUGUGCUAAGCUAUAGCCUUGUAUAGACAACUUGUUGACUAUGCUCAGUCAUGUAGCUUACUCGCUUGUGCUAUUUUACCUACGCUUAGGAUGUUGACGAGACUGUCGAUCUC
rnacentral:rRNA from 1 species